GCGCUAGAGCUUUCUUGGUAGUUAAAAGUCUAAGAUUCAUUUUCUUUCAUGAUUAAAUCUGUGUUAGUUAAGGAUCUUUUCUGGAAUGGUAGCCCAGUGUGACAGAAAGAUAUUUAAGAAAAUCUGUAACAGUGAUGGAACUGAUAAUUAAUGAUGCUUUUCAGGAAAAUCUCCGAUCAGGUGAUUAUUUUUCUUUAAGCUUGACUCUGACACUCCAAAGUUAGAUCCUCAUAGUCAGGCCAGGUCUGAAGUUUUGCCCUGGAUAGGUUACAUCCACCCUUUCUAAGCCCAGGUAUAUCAGACCUCACACUGUCCAUGUUACAAGAUGCUGUGCCUUCCUGGAUACUGGAUUUCCCAAAACCCUAUCCAUCUAUAAGCCUUCUUACCAGCCUCACAGUGCCUCUUUACAGUGGACUGUCUCAGGAACUCACACAUAAUUCUGUGCCUGCAGGGAACUUCCCAACACAGAUGUCCAGGAGCAAAGCUAUUUAAAAUCACCUGCUUGAGAACAGGAACUGAACCUUUGUACAGCAAUGGAGAGCACUGCAAUCAAGUAGGGGCUCUAAGGGAAAGAAACAUGUUGUGAAAGUGUCCAAGGGACUCCAUCCCAGGAUACCUGCUGUUCUCUCCAAGAGGCCCUCGCCAUGGGUUUCAAAGGAGGUGAGAAUUAUCUGCCAGGACUCAGCAGGAGAAUCCAGUGCCUAAGACAUCAUCCCAAGGGAAUGCUAGAGAAGAUGGGCUACUGCUAUUCCCCUGUGUGAUGAAGCCAGCACAGCGCUGGGGACGUCAUCCAGGAAAGCCAGGGCUACAAAAGGAGGACGCACAGAGCAUGGGAGCCAUUUUUAGGCAUUUGUGAAAAUAUUGAAUUCACAGGGCAAGAUGGCGGUAUAGCAGCAGGAGGUACCGAGUUGUGCAGCGAAAAUGGAUGAUUAAUGAGUAGAAGGGAUACAAACAGCUGGCAGAAUCCUGAAAAAUUUAUGUCCCGAAGUCCUCCAGAGGCUGCUCAGGUCCACUCCAGCAGAAGCAGAGAGAGGACUGAAGGAUAGAGAAUGAGCAGCACAGGAAUGCAGUGAGGAGACAGGUGCCUCUUCCUCAGCAAACCAGGCAGAGUUACAGAGAGGCAGAGGCAGACAGAGAGAGAAGUCUUCCAUCUGCUAGUUCACUCCCCAGAUGGCCACAAUGGCUGGAGCUGCACUGAUCCAGAGCCGGGAGCUUCCUACGGGUUUUCCACGGAGGUGCAAGGGCCCAAGGACCUG